UACGUAGGGACCGAGCGUUGUCCGGAAUCAUUGGGCGUAAAGAGCGUGUAGGCGGCCACUUAAGUCCUGCGUGAAAUCCUGCGGCUCAACCGCAGGCGGUCGUGGGAAACUGGGUGGCUAGAGUGCGGGAGAGGAGAGUGGAAUUCCUGGUGUAGCGGUGGAAAUGCGUACGAUAUCAGGAGGAACACCCUGGCGGUAGUGACACGUUCUGGACUGCACUGAGACACGAAGAAGCGUGGGGUAGCAAACAGGAUUAGAACCGUCCGAGUCA
rnacentral:rRNA from 1 species